rnacentral:lncRNA from 1 species
CCACCAUCAUUUUCAUAAUAGCAAGACGCAAUCAAGAUUGUUUUAUUCUUCCUAAUUCAUCAUGAUCUCCAACCACCAUCAUUUCCAUAGCAGCAAGAUGCAGCCAAAGUUAUUUUGUUCUUCCUAAUUCACCAUGAUCUCUAGCCACCAUCAUUUCCAUAGUAGCAAGAUACGGCCACUAUCAUUUUUUUUGUAGCAAGAUAUAGCCACCAUCAUUUCUA